rnacentral:rRNA from 1 species
GCGGCGGACGGGUGAGUAACGCGUGGGUAACCUACCCCAAAGCCCGGGAUAACAGCGGGAAACCGCUGCUAAUACCGGAUGACUUUACCUUGGGGCAUCUUGAGGUAAAGAAAGGUUAACGUUUUGGGAUGGGCCCGCGUCCCAUUAGCUAGUUGGUGAGGUAACGGCUCACCAAGGCGACGAUGGGUAGCCGGCCUGAGAGGGUGGACGGCCACACUGGGACUGAGACACGGCCCAGACUCCUACGGGAGGCAGCAGUAGGGAAUAUUGCGCAAUGGACGGAAGUCUGACGCAGCGACGCCGCGUGAGCGAUGAAGGCCUUCGGGUCGUAAAGCUCUGUCCUUGGGGAAGAAGGUCUUCGGACUUGACGGUACCCAAGAAGAAAGCCCCGGCUAACUACGUGCCAGCAGCCGCGGUAAUACGUAGGGGGCGAGCGUUGUCCGGAAUUACUGGGCGUAAAGGGUGCGUAGGCGGCCCUUUAAGUCAGAUGUGAAAGCCCGCG